GAUGAACGCUGGCGGCGUGCCUAAUACAUGCCAGUCGAGCGAACAGACGAGGAGCUUGCUCCUCUGACGUUAGCGGCGGACGGGUGAGUAACACGUGGAUAACCUACCUAUAAGAUUGGGAUAACUUCGGGAAACCGGAGCUAAUACCGGAUAAUAUAUUGAACCGCAUGGUUCAAUAGUGAAAGACGGUUUUGCUGUCACUUAUAGAUGGAUCCGCGCCGCAUUAGCUAGUUGGUAAGGUAACGGCUUACCAAGGCGACGAUGCGUAGCCGACCUGAGAGGGUGAUCGGCCACACUGGAACUGAGACACGGUCCAGACUCCUACGGGAGGCAGCAGUAGGGAAUCUUCCGCAAUGGGCGAAAGCCUGACGGAGCAACGCCGCGUGAGUGAUGAAGGUCUUCGGAUCGUAAAACUCUGUUAUUAGGGAAGAACAAAUGUGUAAGUAACUAUGCACGUCUUGACGGUACCUAAUCAGAAAGCCACGGCUAACUACGUG
rnacentral:rRNA from 1 species